AGCAGCCGCGGUAAUUCCAGCUCCAAUAGCGUAUAUUAAAGUUGUUGCAGUUAAAAAGCUCGUAGUUGAAUUUCGGGGUUAGUAGGUUGGUCAUGCCUCUGGUAUGUACUGGUCUCACUGAUUCCUCCUUCCUGAUGAGCCGUAAUGCCAUUAAUUUGGUGUUGCGGGGAAUUUGGACUGUUACUUUGAAAAAUUAGAGUGUUUAAAGCAAGCUAACGCUUGAAUACAUUAGCAUGGAAUAAUGAAAUAGGACGUUCGAUCCUAUUUUGUUGGUUUCUAGGAUUGACGUAAUGAUUAAUAGGGAUAGUUGGGGGCAUUAGUAUUCAAUUGUCAGAGGUGAAAUUCUUGGAUUUAUUGAAGACUAACUACUGCGAAAGCAUUUGCCAAGGAUGUUUUCAUUAAUACAAGAACGAAA
rnacentral:rRNA from 1 species